CGUACAUUCUGCAUAUUCGUGAAGGCAAACACGCUACAUCGAUCGCGCAUGCUGUUUUGUUCAUUUUCCAGGCACAAUCCUCAGUACACCCUGUUAGUAGAUGAGCUUUGCGUGCUAUCAAAUUUGCAAAUGUUUUUGUUGGCAAACCUUUAAGAGAUCAGGCCCAGUGUGUGUUGGUGUGUAUUUUAAGUGCAGAAUGACUGACGUGUGAAAUGUCGCUCCUGUUCAUGUUUGUGUUUCCAUCUGAGAAAUGAAAUCACAUGAAGGAUUUCCCUCUUCUCCUCUACACCAUGGGAGGUAUUAGUCAGCUGAUCUAGGGGAUUUGGGGGCGGGGGGUUAAAUCUGCAGAUUAUUAGGAGAAAUGCUGAGACCGACAACAGACAUGCUGAUCUCCACCACUGGACCAAAUGCAGCAAAGAUAUUUCAAAGUUGUUGCGAUAGGAACACCAUUCAGUUGCUUUCCUUUCAAAUCUACAAUAAUUUGAAAGUAGUUUGGAUUUGGAUUCCAGUACAGAAGUGUUCCUGUCUCUGUUUGUAGUAUGAGUAGCUGAUCCAUUGUGUCACUUCUAUUACUUAUCGCUUGGAUCGCAUUUUAUACUUUGAUCUCUUUGUUUCACAUUGAUCUCAUUCUAUCAUGUUGAUCUCAUUUUAUUACUUCGAUCUCGUUCUUUUAUUUCAAUCACAUUCUGUUGCUUUCAUCUUGUUCAACUUUAUUAAACACUCAAAAAUUUCUGCAUCAUUUUACAGUUUUUGUGCUAAUUAAUGUUGUUGAUUUCUAAUGAUGUUUGGGUUAAGUAUGUGUUUUUGGUUCUUGCUUUAUCUUUCUGUAUCAAGUGGCUGCCUCUGAUCUUUAGAAAUGAUAAUGCAGAAUCCAAUUCUUCAUUGAAAGGGCAACUAGACUUGCUUGAGAUUCUUGAAGACGUUCCG